GACGAACGCUGGCGGCGUGCUUAACACAUGCAAGUCGAACGGAAAGGCCCUGCUUUUGUGGGGUGCUCGAGUGGCGAACGGGGGAGUAACACGUGAGUAACCUGCCCUUGACUUUGGGAUAACUUCAGGAAACUGGGGCUAAUACCGGAUAGGAGCUCCUGCUUCAGGGUGGGGGUUGGAAAGUUUCGGCGGUUGGGGAUGGACUCGCGGCUUAUCAGCUUGUUGGUGGGGUAGUGGCUUACCAAGGCUUUGACGGGUAGCCGGCCUGUGAGGGUGACCGGCCACAUUGGCAGUGAGAUACGGCCCACACUCCUCCGGGAGGGAGCAGUGGGGAGUAUUGCACAGUGGGCGGACGCAUGAUGCAGCAACGCCGCGUGCGGGAUGACGGCCUUCGGGUUGUAAACCGCUUUCGCCUGUGACGAAGCGUGAGUGACGGUACUGGGGAAAGAAGCACCGGCUACCUACGU
rnacentral:rRNA from 1 species